rnacentral:rRNA from 1 species
AACGAACGCUGGCGGCAGGCUUAACACAUGCAAGUCGAACGAUGAAGCUGGAGCUUGCUCCGGUGGAUUAGUGGCGAACGGGUGAGUAACACGUGAGCAAUCUGCCCUUGACUCUGGGAUAACUGCGGGAGACUGUAGCUAAUACCGGAUACGACACCUUGGGGCAUCCCAGGGUGUGGAAAGAAUUUCGGUCAAGGAUGAGCUCGCGGCCUAUCAGCUAGUUGGUGAGGUAAUGGCUCACCAAGGCGACGACGGGUAGCCGGCCUGAGAGGGUGACCGGCCACACUGGAACUGAGACACGGUCCAGACUCCUACGGGAGGCAGCAGUGGGGAAUAUUGCACAGUGGGCGAAAGCCUGAUGCAGCAACGCCGCGUGAGGGAUGAAGGCCUUCGGGUUGUAAACCUCUUUUAGCAGGGAAGAAGCGAAAGUGACGGUACCUGCAGAAAAAGCACCGGCUAACUACGUGCCAGCAGACGCCGUAA